GAGCACUUUAUUAUUAAACUGAAGUCUGUCUGUGUUUGACUGAUCACCUCCACACAUACAUGCAACCUGGGGAUUGUGCUGCAGUGGCAUUAUUCAGUCUUAGCGAUGCGUACAAUGAGCAAUACUUGGAUUGUGUAAUGCGGUAUAUAUAUUUAUAAGCCUCAUUUCCUGUCAUUGUGUUUGCUGUAGUGUUAUUGUUAACUCGCUCAGGGAGAACGUCAUACAAGACUACAUGAUCCUUAUCCUUGACGACAUUCUCAUAUUUGGCGUCAUUUUUCGCCCAUAUUCUACGCCAUUCAAGACGAGCACGAAGAACGUGAUAAAGAAUAUUUUGCUCUAGACACAAUUUGCUAUGAUCGUCCCCAUUCAACAAUCACAGCUUUCAUUUUUGCUUUUUUUCGAACGCGACGAAGACAUUGGCACUGUCGAAAUCUUGCGCUGACAAAAACUAGAUAAGACCAACUGGAAUCACAACUGAUUCCGAAAAGAUAAAGCACAUGGAGAUUGGUUUUUCUAAUCGCUUCGAGUCAUUCUAUGAAAGAGCAUGCGUUUAUAUGAGGAUUUCCAACGAAAUAUGUGGUAAGAAGGGAUGCCCAUGUAGAAGGAAGUCUUUCGCAGACCUUUUAAAGUCCACGAUCUAUUACUGUGCUGGAAAUAUCAAGAGUUCAAACAUUUCCUCCAAGGAUGAAGGCGGCGGUGAUAUUCGUGGAUUGUCACGUUCAUUUUUUACAUUCUCUCGUGAUUGGUUGAUUAGAUUCAUUCAUCGAAACAAAACCAUAUGUGGUAAUUUGGAUUAUCAACCAAUUAUUCCAACACAAUGGGAACUCAUGUUUAUUGCCACGAUGUCACUCUACAAUUAUUAUUAUAUUCGUCUACCGGAUAUUUGUACCUGUGCAGAAGGACUACAAGAGUUUGAUACUCGGGUGAAAGUUGUGUUUGUUUUGUGUUGUAUAUCAAUCGUGUUUGGACUACCAAACUCCGGGAAAUAUCGUACUGUGGGUCGUAGGAAAGAGAGCGAACACAAAGGGGGAAAGGACAGGAAGAAUGAUGAUGGUGAAAAGUAUGAGCGAAAGAAUGGCAAUGAACGAGGUAGGAGGACUAGCCAGGGGGGAAACGGUAGCUCAGGGUUGGAGGGGAGUGGUGAAGGUUCAGGAAAUGGUGAGGACUCCAGUGAUGAUGACGACGAAGAUGAUGAUGAGGAUGGGGAUGAUGAAGAUGAACUUCCUGAAGAAGAAGAUGACGAGGAAGAAGGUGAUGAUGAAGAAGAAAUGGACGAUACUGAUAAUGUUUCAGCGAUGGCUGAGGAUGAUGCUGAAGACACGUUAAAUGGCGGGUCUGUCAAUGAAGAACAGCCUCAUCCGGUAGCAUCCACGACCUCAGAGAUUCCCUCGACUGGUGUUUCAGACUGCAACGAGGAGGAUCAGAGUUCUCUUGCAUCAAUAACACCUGUACAGCCGGGCGAGCCUGUCACGUUGGAUGGAGUGAUAUGGAAGGCAGUGGGCGGUGUUUUGGUCGUCAAUAUAAACUAUCGUAACAAGACGUAUUGUGGCAGUUUAAUUGACCGUUCACGUUAUGAAUGGGCGAAUCCGAGACAUUUGGAUGAAUCUCAAGACGAAUGUCAACUUUCCAAUUCCGCGCGAGGUGCCAAAGGAAAGAAAGGAAAACACAAGGAAUCGGUUUAUCUCUCACCAAAACUUGCCGGCAAUGGAAAAAGACCCUCGAGAUUUUAUCGAAACAAGGGUAAGCAUGGGAAAGAGACGUCCACGAGAUCCAAAGGGAUACGUGGUUCGGAUACUGCAGAAGAAGGUGCGAGAACAAGACGACGAAGUUGUACCGUCAAAAUACCUGUAUCUCCCUGUCCUUCCCCAACUCAAUACAUUGAAUGUCCUGAGAGAAACUGCGACAAACGAUACAAGCAUAUCAAUGGUCUGCGGUAUCAUCAAGCACAUGCGCAUCUCGACAAUGCAGAUGGUGGCGACGAUAAGGACUCGUAUGACGAAGAUGAUGGUAAAGAACGACUGUCUGCUCACUCCAAAUCAUCGGGCUCUGAUGAUGUGAAACCUCUUAGCCACAGAAAGGCAAAGAAUCAAAAAUCACAUUCAAAAGUGCACGUUCCUGUUGUUGAAGACAAGGAUAAUGAAAAGAACGGUGGUAAGGUGGUUGAACCUGAAGAGAAUGUUGACGAACACGAGGAGAUUGUUGAUGUGAAGAUGAGUGAAACGUCUGACGUGGUGGUCGAGGAGAAGACUGGUAAUGAGUGUGACGUUGUAAAUGUGAAGGACGAAGUCGUGGUGAUGGAACAUGAAGCUGACGCAAAUAUUCAUGAGAAAUUGUCAGAGGGGGACGAAAAGACUGACGACAAAUACGGAGUAAUUAAAAUAGAGGCAGAUUCUCUACUGAUGGGAGAAGAACGAAGUGUCGGACGUGCCGUUAAAUCUAAUAUUCUCGAAGAAGCCGCCAAGAUCAUUUUUGACGAGUCUGUGCUGAGUCAAGAAUUGAUGGUAUCCACUGGAAUUUUUAGUAGAAUGGCGUCAUCGCAUGCGAUGUUGGCAGCGCAAAAUCAACCCGACUAUAAUAAAUAUGUGGAGUAUGAACCCAUGGAUGAUUAUAACGAAAAGAUCGAGACAACUGUUGACAAUAAAGAUCUUGAUGUAACAAUCAAAGAAGAAGUUAUUGAUGAAGGUCACGCUGGCGAAGUAAAAAUCCCCUGCGAUAAAAAGUCAGAGGAAGCAUUUAAAUUGGACAACGCCGAGAUGCGUCUCAACGAGGGGAACAAAUCAGGCGAAUUUGCUGUCGAAGAAACGCACAAAAGCGCGAAAGACGAAAAGUCAAAAUUGUCCCCGGAAAAGACACCGAAGUCACGUAAGACUGAUGGAACGAACGUUGCCAAGGAACAGAUCAAAACGUCAGCAGCCGAGAUUCGUGCUCUCUCUGAAUAUAGUCACUUUAAACUGACUACCAGCAACAACUCGGUCUCAAAAUCAAUAACAAUAGAUAUGGGAUUAGAAUCCAAAGAUAUGCGAAAGUGUGGAUCGGUAAAGGAGACACCCAGAGUAGAAAGGACUGGGGAUAAAGCAGAUGGAAAUUUAAUGACUUUGAUGGUGCCAUCUGUAUCAUCCGCCUCGUUCCAACUCUCGUGUCAGAGCAAAACGCGAUCAGGUUAUAUAACUUCGUCUAGGAAACCUUCAGUUGUUACAGCUAGUACAACAUGGGUUCCCGAAGUACAUCAUGCGUUGUUAAAUAAAAGUCCUAGAAAUGAUGUCUCUGGUCAGGAGGUAUUACCGGACAAGCCUCUUGUUCGUACAGAAACUGCUGACACAACGUUAAAACUUACUCAAGAUGAAGAGGAUAAAGGGGAGGACGAGCGAUCAAAAACGGCAUACAGUGGUAAACCUGCUCGAGCUGUUGGUGUUGCACAUCCUUUUAAUGCUGAGAAUAAGUCGGAUAAUGAAUUUGCUUUGGGAAUAGUCGGUAAUAUUACUUCUGAUCCCGUACGUGUCCUUUACUCCAAGUCAAGUAGUCCCACUUUAUCCUUGGAUCACAGCCAUCCAGACAUGACCGAAGUGAAAAAAGUGAGGGUGGAGAAAACGUUAGAAGUUCCAAUUGGUGAGGUAGUGCCCGUAACAAAAACAGGCAGACCAAGUAUUUCUACUACUUCUAGAUCAUCUGUAAUGGUUGGCAAUGAAAUCAGACAAGGAUUUCCUGUCGCUACAGAAGAACGCGUACCUCAGAUCAUCACAACACGUUCUUCUCCUCCCAGGGACUCUCAACAUCCCUACAUACCAUCUAACCGUUCAUCGUCAUGGUCACGUUCAUCAAACCGUUCGCCUUUACGAGAUCUUGGACCAAGAACUCGAACAGAAGCUGCUCAACGGUUUCCUCAAUCAGAAACUUGCACAUCACGUAAUCCAAUGCGGCGAUCACCGGUGCCCGAACACCGCUCCUCUCCAGUGAGAGGUGGGUAUCUUACAGUAGACGUUGACCGACGAACUCCUGAAAGAGAUAUAGCUCAACGUGGAUUCGACCCACGACGGAAUUCGAAUUCUCGGGGAUAUGAUGCACAUAGGGGUUAUGAUUCUAAGCGAGAGUUUGAUUCACCUAGGGGAAUGGACCAUCAGCGUGUUGUCGACAAACGAAUACCUUUCCAUAACAUCGAUGAGCGUUUGACUGCUCAUAAGGAUGUUACUCGUAACUCACCGGCAAAAGAAAUGUCGGGUCGUUCACCGAGAAGAGAGACCCCUGGGACUUUUCAUCCUAAACUGGGUGUUGGAUAUAGAGAUUUGGAAACAGGUUCGCCAUUCAGUGAAGGUAUGUCUCGAAAACGAAACGACAAGUCUCCCACAGGUGAUCGACGACAUCCAGCUUCAGAGAGAUCAUUUCGGGAGACUAGGGAGACUAGUCCCAGUCAGAUAAGGGAGAGAGCCACGAGCUCACCUUAUAGAGAGCGAAGCGUAAAUCGAUCUGGUGCAGGUGAGUUGCAAAGAAGCGACACUGGGAGUCCUUUGUUGUCAGGCACAACGGAUUCAGUGUCACGUGGAUACCGCAAUAAAACAGAAGUAAUAGUUUCAAAGGAUUCUGGCGAUAUGGGAUCACAGUAUCCAAGAAUGUCCGAGCAAGAAGCGAUGAUGCGCAACUAUGAAGCCAUAUAUCAGUAUCAGAUGGCCGCUGCUGCAGCUGCGGGCUCACAUGACGAGGCAGCAGCCCGAGAAGCAAUGGAGAAUUGCAUGAUGUAUUUAAGAAUGGGGGUAGAUCCAAGACUAAUUCAACCAUAUUCCACUAUCUUUGCCGCUCAUGGAAUGCCAUUCGUUAUGGCGUCUGCCAAAGAAAUGAACCAAUCUAAGGAGGAACGACCCAAUGAAACACCAGAUGAAAUGAACAGAAAAGGAAGUAUUUUAAAAACAGAAUCAGUAAAAGGUAAAUUGGAACUAUCAGAUGUCGACACGGCACCAGGCAAACGAUACAUGGAAAGAAUGAGCACUUCACGAGAGAGAAGUGAGUUUGAUUCGAUACCGGUGAAAAGAAGCAAGCCAAAUGAAAUAAAAGAUAUUCACGAAAUAAUGGACGAACGUGAUGGAGGCACCAUGUACUGGAAGACCUUGGAAAACAGAGCAUUACGUCAGCAUGUACAACAUAAAAUGGAUGCUUUUAAUCAACUUCAAACGGAGAGGAGUCUUAAAAUGAAAGCAGAAGAAAAAUCUAUCAGGCUGAAACCAUCGGCAAGUUCAAACUACAAAUCGAAAUCAACCGUUGUUAACGAAUCUCGUUCUUUGUUGAAACGAGAGAAUAAAAGUUUUAGUAAGGAGGACAAGAGACUUGCAUCACCCGGGAGUACCACUGAUAGAUCACGAAACCCUGAGAGUAAAUCUCCACUUUCUUCAUCUUCCGCCACCUCUUACAUUAGCUAUGUACCUGGUCCCAAUCUCCCAGCAAACCACGCAUUGUCCAAGAGUUAUGAACAAGCCAUGGGCUUGCAUGGUGGAUACCUUGUGUCUCCGUUCCCUCCUGGAAUGAUGAUGGCUGGUCCGGCAUUUCUCCCCGGAGCUCAACUUCAUAAUCCAGUCGCUGCUCGUGGGACAGAUACAAUGCGCGACUUGGCUCAAAGUUCUUCUUUGUCCGCAGAGCGAGCACGUGCGGGGAGUGAGGACUCACGUGAAACUGAGUCGAGAACCGAGACUCGUGGUUUUCAUUUAAAAGAUGAUGUGGGUGCCACCCCUAGGAUCAACCCGCCUUCCUCGUCUCCACCAAGUGAGAAUAGUAAGGAGAAAUCCGGGGGUGGCGCAGAGAUACGUCUUCCCUACCAGAAACCCAAUCCCUAACGGCAAACCUAGCGUUUCGCCGAGUCGACAUGAGUGGCCCUUCCCAGUUUCCUCCGGGUUUCCCCGGAUUUAUGUAUCCUGUAGGACAAGGAACCUUCAGACCACCGUAUGAUCAUUCUUUUAUUCCUCAUCAACGAAAGUAGCUGGCAACAAAUGCAUUCAUUUGUUCUUGAGAAAACAUGAAAUGUUCAUUGUAAACUAUUUUUGAUUUUUUCCUGGGUUUUUUCAACAUUUUCUGUCAGAAAGUGUUGAACUUUUAUUCUGUUGAUAAAAAAUAUGUUACAAAAUCA